rnacentral:rRNA from 1 species
GACGAACGCUGGCGGCGUGCUUAACACAUGCAAGUCGAACGGAAAGGCCUUGCUUUUGUUGGGUGCUCGAGUGGCGAACGGGUGAGUAACAUGCGAGUAACCUUCCCUUGACUUUGGGAUAUCUUCAGGGAACUGGGGUUCAUACUGGUUAGGUGCUCCUCAUGCUUGGAGGGGGUAGGAAAGUUUCGGUGGUUGGGGAUGGACUCGGGGCUUAUCAGUUUGUUGGUGGGGUGGUGGCUUACCAGGGCUUUGAUGGGUAGCCGGCCUGAGAGGGUGACCGGCCACAUUGGGACAGAGAUACGGGCCGGACUCCUGCGGGAGACAGCAGUGGGGAAUAUAGCACAAUGGGCGGAAGCCUGAUGCAGCAACGCCGCGUGCGGGAUGAUGGCCUUCGGUUUGUAAACCGCUAUCGCCUGUGACGGAGCGUGGGUGACGGUAAUAGAUGAAGAAGCACCGGCUAACUACGUG